ACAUUGAGCUAUUUAUAUCAAAGGAAUUUCACUCAAUAAUGUCCUUAUAUCUUCUUUAACUUCUCCACCCUUUUCACUUGAAGAAAGAUGGCAUCCAAGGGAGAUAUUAUUGUGAAAACGGGAGUGGAUGAUUUUUCAUUAUUGAACGAGUGCCAUGAAAAAAAGAAGAGUUUACCUCAUACUACAAAGAUACCUAAGUAUGCUCUAGAAAGGUCAUCAUCUUAUGUACUUGCACAGAAAUAUGUAGAUUGUGUUUAUCAGUAUCAAUCACCACAAGAUCGUAUUUAUCAGUUCAAACCAUCUUCUGGAACUGAAAAAGAGAUGAAAAGUGUUACUUUUGAGGUCACCACAGUGGAAUUUUGAUUGAAUAUGGAUCAAUAUUCUUAUUACUGGUCUCUAUUUACAAUAUUGUAGCAUGUGUAAUAGAGUUGAACAAAUAUUAAUUAGUUGAGUAAGCUACUAUGUCGUGCGAAUGCACAAGCAUAUAUAUGGAUGUUCCUUAUAUUGAAGUCUUUUGCAAUAUAUAUGGAAUCCUUAGCUAUAUGUUGGCUCGUUACUCUAUUCCCUUAUUCAUUAUAAAUAGUGGGACAUGAGCUCUUUCUUCGUUUAGUCCCAUUCUUGUACGUGCAACAAAAUAGAAGUUAGAUUUCAUAGAAGUUGCAAACAAUAAGAAGUAUCCAUUCCUUGGUUUUAGCUCAUAGCAUCUAGAUGGUAGGGAAAUGUCUUUAAAAGAGCGCUUCCCCCAUCCAAUCUGCUCUAGCUCGCAACCCGGGCUCAUGCUCAUCUAAAGGACGACUAGCCUAUGGCUCAUAGUCCCUUUCUUAUAUGCAUACAAUGUGUUUGUUUAUACAAUGUAUCAAGUCUUUAAUGCAUAUAUACAGGCUUCUAUUGGAAGGUUUUAUAACCUCAUAAAUAGGUUAUAAAAGAAGUG
rnacentral:lncRNA from 1 species